rnacentral:misc_RNA from 1 species
UGAAGAAGAAUCAGGGCUCUGCAGUACAGACACCUGGGACUCUGAACUACCAGAAAUCCUUGGACUUUGACUUGGUUGCUGUGACACGUGCAAUGGGAUUGGCUCUAUAACAGGUGCAACAUCCCGGCCUGCAGAUCUUCUAGAUUCUGAAAGAGGUUCUGCUGCUGAUGCUGUGGGAAUUGCACCAGAUUUCACAUCAACGGG